GACUUCGCCUAGUGAAUCGCCCCGGAGGGGUCGCGGGCGGAGCUGUCCGCCAGUCCCGCGGCGCGCGCCCGCCCUCUUCAGCCCUAUGGGACUGGGCGCGCGGAGCAGCGCCCGUCGGGAAGGCUCUGGCCGAACGGAAGCCCACGGCGGGAGCAUGAGGGGGGCUCAGGCAUGGCGGGCUGCCGCUCCUGAGCCCUGCCCUGCGGGGAGGCGGCUGAGGCAGGGCGACAAUUCCAGCGCGGUGUGGGCGGACCAGCAGUGCUGGGGGACCCGGCGCACCCUCCGCAGCUGCUGGCCCGGGUGCUAAGCCUCUUAAUUCCCCGGGCCGGGGACGCGGGCUGACCGGCCGCUCCGAGUGCGGGGCACGCCGAACCCGCGCCCACCUGGAAGUUGCACUGGCCCGCGAGCGCCGCGCGCAGCCCCGGUUCCCGCCCGCGCCUCUGUCUCCACACCUCCCCGCAAGCAGAGGGAGCUGGCUCCGGCCUUGGCCAGCCCAGAGAAGGUCUCCCACACGGUGCAGCAGCGGGCUGAAGGGCUCCUGAAGCGCGGCCAGAGUGGACGCCGAGGCCAAGGAGGAGCCGAGAGCGAGCAAGGGCUGCUAGCACGUUGUCACCUCUCAGUAUGGGGUUUCACGGGAUCUUCUGGUCAGUGAUUGCCCUCCUUGUACCGUGCCCUGCCAUCCUUUCUCUGUGACACUGACAUACCAACAGAAUCACUCCUUGGUCAUGUGCAAUUCAGGGCUGUUCAUAAAAGUGGAAUUUCUCAGGUUAGAAGUAUUCGUUCUUAGUAGCAUUGUUGCGACUUCCCUACUUCUGAUGUUCGGAGGGAGUGGUUCCCAGUGAUGACUUCCAGCAAGCGCAAGAAAGUAAAACAGCCCUUUUACUCCCACCACCAGCAGUUUGGCAAGCUGGAGCGCUACAGUUCCUGUACUCCCACAAUUUGGCAAGAUCUGAGUUCUUGUCCCACCACCAAGAAGAAUAAGGCACUCAAACACCAGAGAGUGAGUAAGGCAGAGUAGGAGUUAUUAAGCAACAGAAAAAGCUCUCAGAAUAGAGGGGACCCUAAAAAGGGUUGCCAGCUGUGGGGCUAAGUUCAGGGUUUUCAUGAACCGGGAGGAAGAAGUAGUGUACUGAUUGGUAUGCAGGCCAUUUUGGAAAAAGCACCACUCAGAAAGAGACACAGUAGAGCAAAGAAUAAACUGGAGACAGAAGUGAAGACUGGCCUUCAAUCAAUCAGGGACUGGAGUGACAUUUCACUCUAUACAAAUGAAGACUCCGCCCAUGGCCAAUCAAAGAAAGUUGGUUAAAUCCGCAGAUGAAGAAUGCGCAAACAUCAAAGGCCAACUGUAUGUAUAGUCUCACUUUGUCGCCCAGGCUGGAGUACAGUGGUGCAAUCGAUCUUGGCUCACUGCAAUCUCUGCCUCCUGUAUUGAAGUGAUUCUUCUGCCUUGGCCUCCCGAGUAACUGGGAUUACAG